GACGAACGCUGGCGGCGUGCUUAACACAUGCAAGUCGAACGGAAAGGCCCUGCUUUUGUGGGGUGCUCGAGUGGCGAACGGGUGAGUAACACGGGAGUAACCUGCCCUUGACUUUGGGAUAACUUCAGGAAACUGGGGCUAAUACCGGAUAGGAGCUCCUGCUGCAUGGUGGGGGUUGGAAAGUUUCGGCGGUUGGGGAUGGACUCGCGGCUUAUCAGCUUGUUGGUGGGGUAGUGGCUUACCAAGGCUUUGACGGGUAGCCGGCCUGAGAGGGUGACCGGCCACAUUGGGACUGAGAUACGGCCCAGACUCCUACGGGCGGCAGCAGUGGGGAAUAUUGCACAAUGGGCGGAAGCCUGAUGCAGCAACGCCGCGUGCGGGAUGACGGCCUUCGGGUUGUAAACCGCUUUCGCCUGUGACGAAGCGUGAGUGACGGUAAUGGGUAAAGAAGCACCGGCUAACUACGUG
rnacentral:rRNA from 1 species